AUGGAAUGCAAGGAUCGGGGUGUUUCCUCCGCUGAAACCACGAGGUGCCAAGUCACUGUAACACAUCACAGCAGUGAUAAUGCUGAGGAGCACUUUUUACAGAGUGAUACAGCCAGUACCACUGUACUACCAGCAGAGAGGAAUAAAAUCAUGCUGAAGUUCUUUCACCAUCAUGAAAACAAGAUCCUGGUGGAGGAAUGGGCAAAUCAACCUAAUCCAUUUAAAAUAAAUUUUGAGCUUUUCCACAACAAAUGCCAGUCUUCUUUCUUCCAGGUCCUCCAUUCAAGAGUUAAUGAUGUAGAUGGUGAAUCUAUGCAGCUCAGCAGUUCUUAA
rnacentral:lncRNA from 1 species